rnacentral:lncRNA from 1 species
UUCAUAGUUGUCUUGGCUGUUAGGCAUCACAACAAACCAAACCCUCCUGUUGCUCCCACAACUCCCCCUAGCACCAGCCCUACCUCCCCAUCCCCCAAAUCUCCAUCUCCUCAGUACCCUCAUCACCCUCCUGGGACCUCACCAUCACCAGCAUCAGUGGCUAACCCUCCAGCCACCUCACCAUCACCAGUAGUGGCUAGCCCUCCUGCCACCUCCCCAUCACCAGUGGGCUACCCUCCUGCCACCUCCCCAUCGCCAGUGGGCUACCCUCCUGCCACCUCACCAUCACCAGUGGGCUACCCUCCUGCCACCUCACCAUCACCAGUGGGAUACACUCCUGCCACCUCACCAUCCCCAUCAACAACAACAUCUCCAGCGCUAGCGCCAGGUCCAUCUUCAUCCCUUACACCAUUUCCUUCUCCACCCUCACCGCCCCCCGAGGGGCCCACACCGCCCUCCGAGGGGCCCACACCGGCCCCGUCCGCAGAGUCUGCGGGCCCCACACCACCGGGAACCGUUUCUCCGCCGCCCGGGACAGCGGACUCGACGGCUCCGAGACCGGCGGGGAGUGGAGCGUCGCAUAGUGUAACGGCUCCUUCGAGCGUGCUGGUGUCU